rnacentral:rRNA from 1 species
CCUACGGGAGGCAGCAGUGAGGAAUAUUGGUCAAUGGACGCAAGUCUGAACCAGCCAUGCCGCGUGCAGGAAGACGGCCCUAUGAGUUGUAAACUGCUUUUGUACGAGGGUAAACGCAGGUACGCGUAUCUUUCUGAAAGUAUCGUACGAAUAAGGAUCGGCUAACUCCGUGCCAGCAGCCGCGGUAAUACGGAGGAUUCAAGCGUUAUCCGGAUUUAUUGGGUUUAAAGGGUGCGUAGGCGGUCGGAUAAGUUAGAGGUGAAAUCUCGAGGCUCAACUUCGGAAUUGCCUCUGAUACUGUUCGGCUAGAGAGUAGUUGCGGUAGGCGGAAUGUAUGGUGUAGCGGUGAAAUGCUUAGAGAUCAUACAGAACACCGAUUGCGAAGGCAGCUUACCAAGCUACUUCUGACGUUGAGGCACGAAAGCGUGGGGAGCAAACAGGAUUAGAUACCCGGGUAGUC